rnacentral:rRNA from 1 species
AACGAACGCUGGCGGCGUGCCUAACACAUGCAAGUCGAGCGCGAAUGGAGCAAUCCUAGUAGAGCGGCGCACGGGUGCGUAACACGUGGGUAAUCUGCCCUGAAGCCCGGGAUAACCUGCCGAAAGGCAAGCUAAUACCGGAUAAGCCUACGGUCCCCUCGGGGACUGAAGGAAAAGGUGGCCUCUGCAUGCAAGCUAUCACUUCAGGAUGAGCCCGCGGCCCAUCAGCUCGUUGGCGGGGUAACGGCCCACCAAGGCAACGACGGGUAGCUGGGCUGAGAGGACGAGCAGCCACACUGGAACUGAGACACGGUCCAGACUCCUACGGGAGGCAGCAGUGGGGAAUUUUGCGCAAUGGGCGAAAGCCUGACGCAGCAACGCCGCGUGUGUGAUGAAGGUCUUCGGAUUGUAAAGCACUUUCGACCGGGACGAAAACCUGCUGGCCAAUAUCCAGCAGCUUGACGGUACCGGGAGAAGAAGCACCGGCUAACUCUGUGCCAGCCGCCGCCGUAA